rnacentral:tRNA from 1 species
GUCCCUAUUGUCUAGAGGCCUAGGACAUCGCCCUUUCACGGCGGUAACCGGGGUUCGAAUCCCCGUAGGGACGCCA